AUAAAACGCAAUUUCAGACUCGGCUACGCAGAGAAACAAAGCGAGAGUCGGAGGGAAAGAAAGAGGGAGGAAGACGAAGAACAACAAGAAGCUGCGCCUGCAGAACUCCAUUUAAGAUUUGGUCCUCUCUUCCUCUCCACUCUCUCAACCAAAUUUAAAAAAAAAGAAACGAAGUUAAAUAUUUUUGGGUUUCCCUCUUUGACAUCUUAGUUUUGCAAUAAUUGACCAAUCACCCUCUAAUUUUGGUUUUCUUUUCUUUUAUAUCACCACUUUCCUCCCAUGAUUUCAUCAUUUAGCAUUUGAGCUCCUUUUGUUUUCCCUUGUUAGAUCUAAAAGAUUUUCAACCACCCACUCGCCUGGCCGACCGACCAGAUCCGCCGUCGGUUAAUUCAAAUCUAUGGAUGAUUUUCCUGGUCUAUUGGCCCAGGACUUCGGUUUCAAACCCCAGGGUAAAUCCGCCCCUAUGGCUUCAUCUCGUAAUUCCAACACUAACACCUUCUCCUCUGUCAAUUUCGGCCUCGGAUCCGCUGCUCCUGCUUCUCACUAUCGAUCUUCCUCUGCCACCCUCGAUUCUGCUCCUAUUUUCGAUGAUCACGGUCACGAUCGUGGCGGCGGCGGGAGUGAUGGUCUCUUGUUCAACGACGUCUUUGGGGGCCCGCCUAAGUAUGCGGAAUCGCGUGGCGGCGGUGAUGGAGGAAUUAAAUCGUCGUCUUCUGCAUUUGAUUAUGACUCCAUUUUCAAGGACCAGAAUGCGAAAUCCGGGUCUUUGCCGGUUUUUGAUAAGCCAGUUUAUGAUGAUGAUAUUUUCGAUGGAUUGCCUGGCCUGAAGAGUUCGUCUGUGGGUCCUCAAUCGGCUAAUUUUGAUGAUGUGUUUUCUUCGAUCGGCACUGCUUCUUCGACCAAGCGUAGGGCGCAAAACAACAGCUCGCCAUUUGAUGAUCUGUUGGGGAAUUUAGGUAAAAAGGAGAACGAAUCGAGGAGAGAGACUCCCAAAAUGGAGAAGGAUUCAGCUGCUUUUGAUGAUUUGCUUCCUGGUUUUGGUCGCAGUAGCUCCCCUAGUAUUAGCAGGUUAACUUCAGAGUCUAGUCGGUCCCAGAAACCAUCUGCAAAUUCGGCCAGGAAAGCCUCCAUUAUGAUGGAUGACCCUUUUGUGGUGUUAGAGUCAACUUCAACUCCUGCAGCUUCAUCCUCGAGGUUGUAUGUAGACCCUUUGGAAGAAAUUAGUAAAUUCAGUAGCUCUGGAAACACAAAGGUUGAUAAUUCAUCUGUAAAUAGGGGAGUAUUUGAUGAUGUAGACUCCUUUGAUAGCCUUGGAAAACCUGUACCUCCAGUUUCACCUGUAGUCAACAUGAGAGGAAAAGAUAGGAGCCCUCUUAGAACUGGACCAAGCAUGGGUGGCACUUAUUCACCUGCUAGCGAAGAUCCAGUUGACGAAUAUCCUGUGGACGAAGCUGAAGGCCACUCACAGAAGAAGAUGUCUAAUGAUGAUUUCCAUGAAUCACAUGAAACCUUGUUCGAUGUGCCUCGUGUUGGUCAAAAUGUCUCAUCACCUUCAUAUGUGAAUGGCAGUUCUAAUGGGGUAAAUUCACCUCCGAGAUAUGAAGAUAUUUCAGAAUCACCUGAUGAUGUGUGGCUUACUGUAUCUGAAGUUCCUCUUUUUACGCAACCAACAAAUGCUCCACCUCCUUCAAGACCCCCACCUCCUAGACCACCUCGGAUUUCAAAGGUAGAGACAGGUUCUUUUUCAUCAACAAACUCAAGAAUGAAGGUUAAUGAAUAUUCUACUUCAUACUCUCAGAGCCCCAGGUCAGCUCAUGCAACAAGGAGCUCAGUGGCAUCUCAAAUAGAUGAACUUGAAGAUUUUGCAAUGGGUAGUACCCGAAGCAAUGUUAGUGAACAUGCUGAUGUUCUUUAUGGAGAAGAUGUGGAUGCAAAUGCAUCUUCUGCUGCAGCAUCUGCUGCUGCCAUGAAGGAGGCCAUGGAUAAAGCAGAGGCUAAAUUCAGGCAGAUGAGAGAGAGGGAGUAUCUAAAGGCUGCUAGAAGUAGAGAAACUAGUCAAGUAGAUAAAGACAUGCAAGAAGCUCAGCAGAGAGAAUUAAAAGAAAGGCAAGAGAGGCAACAGAGGGAAAGGGAGGAGGAAGAGAGAGAACAAAGGAGAGU
rnacentral:misc_RNA from 1 species